rnacentral:rRNA from 1 species
UAAAAGCCCCUUGCUUACACCGAGGCCAUGUCUGUUGUACCCGGACCAUUUUGAGCCUUAAAUCUAGCCUGCACAAACCUUAUGCCCCCACAAUUAAGUAUUCUAAAAAUAAAACAUUUUAAAAUCUCAGUAGAGGAGAUCGAAAAGCUAUUUAGCGCUUCAGACAAAGUACCGAAAGGGAAAGUUGAAAUAGAAGUGAAAUAAAACUAAAGCUCUAUACAGCAGAGACUUUAUCUCGUACCUUUUGCAUCAUGGUCUAGCCAGUCUCCUCAAGCAAAAAGAAACUUAAGUUUGACAUCCCGAAACUAAGCGAGCUACUUCAAAACAGCCUCAUGGGCCAACCCAUCUCUGUUGCAAAAGAGUGGGAAGAUUUUCAAGUAGAGGUGACAAGCCUACCGAGCUUAGAGAUAGCUGGUUGUUCAGGAAAAGAGUUUUAGCUCCACCUUAAGUCAUAUAAUGACACUUAACCAAACCCCUUGACUUAAGAGCCAUUCAAAUAAGGCACAGCUUAUUUGAAACAGGGUACAACCUUUAAUACCGGGUAAACAAUAAUAGACUAAACAAAGUUGACUUAAAAGCAGCCAUCUUUCUAAAAGCGUCAUAGCUUAACUUCAUUGCACCUACAAUUCCCCUAAACUUUAUGAACCCUUCACCACUACUGAACUAUUUUAUAAUAAUAUAAAAAAUAUUAUGCUAGAACUAGUAACAAGAAAACGCCUUUCUCCUUAAUGUAAGCAUAAACCAAAACGGACCCACCAUUGGUAAUUAACGUAAAUGUUCUUAUUGUAAUAACAUACAACUAGAAAACCUUACAGUAAACAACGUUAACCUAACACCAGAGCAUUACAGGAAAGAUUAAAAGAGAAAGAAGGAACUCGGCAAACUUUUAGCCCCGCCUGUUUACCAAAAACAUCGCCUCUUGCUAAACAUAAGAGGUCCAGCCUGCCCAGUGACAUAGUUUAACGGCCGCGGUAUCCUAACCGUGCGAAGGUAGCAUAAUCACUUGUUCUCUAAAUAGGGACUAGUAUCAACGGCAUCACGAGGGUUACACUGUCUCCUUUCUCCAAUCAGUGAAACUGAUCUCCCCGUGAAGAAGCGGGGAUAAGAAUAUAAGACGAGAAGACCCCAUGGAGCUUCAAGCACCGUAUUCACCCGUCUCUUACAACAACAUAGUUUUUAAGCCUGCGUACUAGCUUUUGGCUGGGGGGACCGCGGAGUACAAUCUAACCUCCGCAACAAAUGGGCUUCGCCCUUAUCUACGAACCACAACUCUAAGAACCAAUAAACUGAUGUACUUUGACCCGACCUAUCGAUCAACGAACCAAGUUACCCUGGGGAUAACAGCGCUAUCUACUUCAAGAGCUCAUAUCGACAAGUAGGUUUACGACCUCGAUGUUGGAUCAGGGUAUCCCAGUGGUGCAGCCGCUAC